GAAUGGGAUGCGACAUUGGUAAUGGUCGGG
rnacentral:tRNA from 1 species